CACGGCGUGGUAACUUCACAAAUCCGCCGGGGAGAAUUAUGGCUCUCAUUAUAAAACUAAGUUGUCUUUGGCGGCCGCACAGCAAACACCAUGCAUCCGUCAUGAAAUGACUCGAUACCUUUGUAACAGGGGUUCUGAUGGCACCACCAGGCUGACUAGCUGUUCUGGUCUGAAGAGGCGGCUGUAGGAAGUUAUCCAUGAUAUCAGAGGCUGCCAUUAACGUCGUCAGGAGUUGGGUGCUCAGUGUUACAGUCUGGUUGGUCAAUCUGAGACCAUGUGACCUGCAGUGAUCCACCAUCCCUCGGCCCUCUGGAGUCGGGUGCCCAGUGCUGCAGUUUGGUGUCAGUCUGACCAUGUGACCUGCAGUGAACCGCCCUCCACCCCAUCCCUCGGGCUCUCAAUGCUUCAGUCUGUUUGGUCAAUCUGAGACCAUGUGACCUGCAGUGAUCCACCAUCCCUCUGCACUCUGGUUCCAUAAACGGGAGGGGCUUCCCACCAUAAUGGCUGCCCAUCCUGUGGUUUCUCUGGAGUGUUGCGUUUCAGAAUCAGAAGGGUGCUGACCUACUUCCAACAUGUUGAAGGGGAGGUUACUGCCCACAGCUGGUGUUAUCCAGUAUAUGCGCUAUGUAUCAAACUAAGCAUUGUAUGUGGGCCAAAUCAUUAGCUACAUCUUGUAAUCAAUUGGCAAGUUCAAGAGACUAGACUGUUAUAACCCUGGAUUGUACAUUUAAUGAUUCAAUGGUAGCUGGGGGGGUGUGAGGUCUGAUAAAACACUGCUCUGGUUCUUGAUGAUGAUUUUUACAGGCCUUAGUUUUAGCACACCUGGGUUGCAGUCCAAACACUUAAGAUGCACCCUGUCCCUUCAGCCCUCAUUAAGUGGACACUUCUGAUAACAUAUAAUGCUGCCUGCCGAGUAUACACUUGCAGGGCAAGGAAGGAAUGGUUUUUAAAUGGACUGCCCUGGCCUGGAAAUCCAUUGCUCGUUCUUCCAGCGAUUAUCUUUUUAGCCACCGGGUAGCUUGUGGGUGCUUUUAUGCGCAACAGUCAAUUAUGAUUGCAUGUCUAAAUAUAUAAUUAUUAAUUUACACGAACUGUAUGUUAGCUAGCAAAUUAUUUAACUACCGUUAGGUUGUCUAGCAGGAACUUCUGAAGAUAAAUGUAUUAAUACAUACAAUUUCCAAAAGCUAAACAAAUAUUACUUUACGAUGUGCUUGUGCUGUCAUGUGCAUUAGUAGUACUGAUUUAAGAUAAAUGUAUUAAUACAUACAAUUUCCAAAAGCUAAACAAAUAUUACUUUACGAUGUGCUUGUGCUGUCAUGUGCAUUAGUAGUACUGAUUUGUUUUUACUUACACUUGUAAAUUGACAAAUAAAACAAGGGCUGCGGUCCUUACGUUGCAAACUUCCCUUGCUUGGCUAAUAAUUUGCGCUGCCUGCCAAGAUGGUGACAGGAUUCCCCCAAGGCCUAGUCUUUUGUUUGAACUGCAGCCCUAUACUACUGUCCAGUUAUAUGGUUAAGUGCCACUAAGGACACGGGCAAAUUAGUUGGCCCAGAACAGGGCACCUGGCAUUAAUGGGUACUUUAGGAUUUUGGCACAAAUUAGAGUAGUGUUUUUAUUGAUGUUGGUUGUAGUUUUAUUGUUUAAUUACUAUUUUGUUUACAAUUUCUGUUUUCACCCUGCUUGUAAAUGGACCCUACAGUCAGCAGCAGUAUGGUCUCGUAUGAAGACCUUGGUUCUGUUAAGGUGUUCAAUAAAGGUUUUUAUAAUGUG